UAUUGCUGCCCUUCUUGGGCGUUUCCUCCCUAAACUUCGGGCCGCUUUUUGCGGCCCUUUUUCUUGACAGGG
rnacentral:sRNA from 1 species